rnacentral:rRNA from 1 species
CCUACGGGUGGCAGCAGUGGGGAAUAUUGCACAAUGGGCGCAAGCCUGAUGCAGCCAUGCCGCGUGUGUGAAGAAGGCCUUCGGGUUGUAAAGCACUUUCAGCGGGGAGGAAGGCGUUAAGGUUAAUAACCUUGGCGAUUGACGUUACCCGCAGAAGAAGCACCGGCUAACUCCGUGCCAGCAGCCGCGGUAAUACGGAGGGUGCAAGCGUUAAUCGGAAUUACUGGGCGUAAAGCGCACGCAGGCGGUCUGUCAAGUCGGAUGUGAAAUCCCCGGGCUCAACCUGGGAACUGCAUUCGAAACUGGCAGGCUAGAGUCUUGUAGAGGGGGGUAGAAUUCCAGGGGUAGCGGUGAAAUGCGUAGAGAGCGGGAGGAAUACCGGUGGCGAAGGCGGCCCCCUGGACAAAGACUGACGCUCAGGUGCGAAAGCGUGGGGAGCAAACGGGAUUAGAACCCCGGUAGUC